rnacentral:misc_RNA from 1 species
UGCGCGUAUGGGUUUCUGCGUAGCCUUCUCCUUAGCUUUUUUUUGUUCGCUCCGCUGGCGUGGCAGUUUGCGUCUUUCCAGACCCCCGCGCCUCUCCCUCUCAUGCGCGGUGAGGAGACAGCACGCAGAUGGAGAGGAAUGUGAGCAGCUGGCAAGGCCGAGAUGGAGAAGAUAGCGGAACCCCUCCGCAACGAGUGGAAGCAGGAGGAGAUGCGUCUCAUUUUCCGCUCCUACCCCCGUAUCCUCGGCAUAGAGGCAAGUGAGAAGCAAACGAGAGAGAUCCAGUGUGCUCUUCAGAUCGCGUGGCAGCGGAAGGGCAAGGGGGCCCGGUGAGUCGAUUGUUUGACUCUCUAUAGAUUACGCAUGGCCAAGCAUCAGCGGCGCACAUACACACGCGUGUGCAUCCCAUCUUCUCGGCGUCACUUCUUCGUUUUGCCCCUUUCCGGAUCCUCUCAUUUCUCUCGCUUUCGAGUGGGGAACUCACGAGGAAGUGGAUGGGUUCGGCCGUUCCGGGUGUCCUCUCCUGCUUUCUCUCUCUCUUGUUGCAUGUGUAUGUGGUGGAUGCGAACGUCUGUGUUCGUCGUGGUUGGGGGUGCACGUAUUCUUUUUUUGUGCGAGCUCCCCCUUCUCUCCUCCUCAGAUGUGCACUCUCUCUCCCUGUGUGUCGCUUUUUGUUUGUCGUUACUGUUGCCGUUGGCGUCCCCACACCCCUUCUUCAUGUUCUCUAGUCUUUCUCUUGUGGGGUUAGAUGCAUGCGUCUUUCUGUGCGUGUGUGCGGUGCUUCUUUGUUCGCUUUUUUCUCUUCGCUGUCGGUAUUUCGGGUGUACCUCACCCCAUCCUCGCCGCCUCUCCAUGCGCCGUCUCUUCAUUCCCUGCGCGCGCUCUGUCACCAUCGCUACCACCCAAUCACCCACCCACCCCUUCAUUUAAGGCUUUGUACACUUGGGAGGGAAAAGAGAGGGAGAGAGGCGCGAGCAGGUGAGUGGAGCGGCCGGAUGUGCUUCUUUGCAUCUCUCUUCUCCCUUGCGAUGUCUGCGUGAUGGUGGUGUGGUUGAACUUUUCUUUGCUAUUGCUAUCCCUUCCUCCCUCUCUCUGAGCAUGUCUUUUUUUUUUUCAUUCCAGCCCAUCUCUUCUCCCCGCCCCAGUCCCUUUCUGUCAUAUGUUCCCGGCCCCCUCCUCCCCUCCCCUCUCCUGUUUCUUGACUUGCGUAUUCUCCCUGUCUGUCUGUGUGUGUGGGGGGAGUGAUCUUUUCCUUUCGGAUUUGAUGGCCCUCUACCCGGGCCCCUUCUCCCUGUGUCUUUGCCUGUUUUUCGUUGCUGUUUUCGUUAUUGUGCUGCUGUGCUCUUGUCGUCGUCUUCUCACGCUCUACUUCGCUGACUCGCUCGCUCGCCCUCUCUCCGGUGUUUGGCCUAUGCGUGUGCACGCAGGCCUCGCGCCACUUUUUACACGUCACUCAGACGAAGGAAAAACGGAGAAGUCAAGAGGGUGGAAGCGCUGCCAUAGUCACUGCUGGCGUUUUUUUCCCUAGACGCUGUUAGUCUGUGCGUACCGUUGAUGUGUUUGUUCGCUUAGCUAUGUUUCUUGUCUGUUUUUUUGUUGUUCGUUUUCGAUAUUGAGUGCCUCCCUGUCUUCUCUCCUCCUCUCGCUCCAUCCCCCGCCCCCCCCCUACCCUCCCGCUCUACGCUCUUGUGCGUGCGAAGAGGCGGUGGCACAGACGAAAGCGUGCGCACAGAUCAACUGGGACUUCUCCGGCUUCUUUCGUUGUGCUGCUUCUUGGUCUCAUCCACGCGUGAAGGCAACAAGCUGAGUAGCGGAGCUGCUACACCUAUAGUGUGAGUGUGUGGGCGUGCGUGUGUGGAAGUGGGUCUUUUUCUCUCUUGUGGGUAGGAUGUGGAAGAGAAGACGGCUCGCGGCUCGAGAGAAGGGAGAGGGCGAAGACAGGCAGGGGGUGGGUGAGGGAGGAGAGUCGACAAACACGCAAGCAGGCAAGGCGGGAGUACGUGAGCAGAAGGUUAGGAGUCAGGCAAGACGCUGGAAUGAGGUACGCUAUCGGAAAAGAAGAGUGUAAGCGCGUGUGGCAUAGCCGGAUCACUUGGUUUCAUGAUCGCUCUUUGCUUUGGCGUCGUCCGGGAUCCUUCGCGCGUGUGUAGUGUGUGUGUGUGUGCGUGUGUGUGUGUGUGUGUGUUUCACGGCACUGUUUUUUUGUUGUUGUUCGUUAGUUUGGUUUUUGUUUUCUGUUCUCUCUUUUUUUCUGUCUGUGUCUGUGCGUGUGUGUAUUUCUGCGUAUUCUUCCGUCUUGUCGUUUGCUCUCCUUCUGUGUCUCGCCGCUUCUAAAAAAAUGAAUAGCAGCCCAAAACACGAAUGCAUGGAAAGCGCAAUGGCGAUAAAAAGGUGCGCACGAGAGUAGCAAGAAGAAUGGAACACGAAAAGAGAAAAGGGAAUACUUCAGCGACACGCCAUCUUUUCUGUUGUUGCCGUUGUUGUUGUCGUUGUUGUUGUUUUUUUAAUAUCUUGUCAUCUUCCUUUCUCCUGUGCUUUUCUUUUUUUUUGCCCUUUCAUUCGUUCAAUGUCUGUGCCGGCUCGUCUCUCAUUGAUCUCACCACGUCUUG